GACGAACGCUGGCGGCGUGCCUAACACAUGCAAGUCGAACGAGUCCAAUCCUUCGGGAUUGAGGCGAGUGGCGGACGGGUGAGUAACACGUGAGCAAUCUAUCCUGUUGCGGGGGACAACGAGGGGAAACCCUCGCUAAUACCGCAUGGUCGAGAGAAGCGAUGCUUCUUUCGGGAAACGUGGCUUCUUUACAAUGCUACGGUGGCAGGAGGAGCUCGCGGGCUAUCAGCUAGUUGGUGAGGUAACAGCUCACCAAGGCGACGACGGCUACGGGGUCUGAGAGGACGACCCCGCACAUUGGAACUGAGACACGGUCCAGACUCCUACGGGAGGCAGCAGUGGGGAAUAUUGGGCAAUGGCCGAAAGGCUGACCCAGCGACGCCGCGUGUGGGAGGAAGCCCUUCGGGGUGUAAACCACUGUCAGGAGGGACGAAAGAGCUCAUGGUGAAUAAUCAUGGGCAGUGACGGUACCUUCAAAGGAAGCACCGGCUAACUCUGUG
rnacentral:rRNA from 1 species